AACGAACGCUGGCGGCACGCCUAACACAUGCAAGUCGAACGGAAUUUAAGUCUUCGGAUUUAAAUUUAGUGGCGGACGGGUGAGUAACGCGUGGGAACCUGCCUUGCAGUAAGGGAUAACGCCGGGAAACCGGUGCUAAUACCGUAUACGCCCUUCGGGGAAGAUUAUCGCUGAGGGAUGGGCCUGCGGGCCAUUAGCUUGUUGGUGAGGUAACGGCUCACCAAGGCUGUGAUGGCUAGCUGGUCUGAGAGGAUGACCAGCCACACUGGGACUGAGACACGGCCCAGACUCCUACGGGAGGCAGCAGUGGGGAAUAUUGCGCAAUGGGCGAAAGCCUGACGCAGCGACGCCGCGUGGGUGAUGAAGGCC
rnacentral:rRNA from 1 species